CCUACGGGUGGCAGCAGUGAGGAAUAUUGGGCAAUGGACGAGAGUCUGAACCAGCGAAGUAGCGUGAAGGAUGACUGCCCUAGGGGUGGUAAACUUCUUUUAUAUGGGAGUAAAAUGUCCCACGUGUGGGAUUUUGUAUGUACCAUAUGUAUAAGGAUCGGCUAACUCCGUGCCAGCAGCCGCGGUAAUACGGAGGAUCGGAGCGUUAUGCGGAUUUAUUGGGUGUAAAGGGAGCGUAGGUGGAUUGUUAAGUCAGUUGUGAAAGUGUAGGGCUCAACCGUAGAAGUGCAGUUGAAACUGGCAGUCUUGAGUACAGUAGAGGUGAGCGGAAUUCGAGGUGUAGCGGUGAAAUGCUUAGAUAUCACGAAGAACACCGAUUGCGAAGGCGGCUAACUGGAAUGUAACUGACACUGAGGCUCGAAAGUGUGGGUAUCAAACAGGAUUAGAUACCCGAGUAGUC
rnacentral:rRNA from 1 species